UGCCAAAUUUGUUUCUAAAUCAAUCUUGAAGAAAAAAGUUUUGACGAAAUGUCAUUCUGAGGUCAGUGAAAUAGUUGAUGCCUACCUUGUCGUCCUCGUUUUCCGUGUUAUCCUCAUCUACCCCUUCCUCAUCGCUUUCAUCGGCUUUAGCAGUUUUAUACAGAAUACUGCUUUGAUAUUCCAUCACAGUCCUCUUUGCAUCCUUCGUUUUAAUUUGAAAACUGACUGGCGUCGAACUAGGCACCAGUAUCCCGCUCUUUGCUCCGUCACUACUCUUCUUUCCAGACUCCGCGGGGUUGAGUUUAAACUCUCGGAUUCUUGUCUGGUAGUAAGUGUAAUGGUCGCUCGUUUCGUUGAUGAAAUCAAACCU
rnacentral:lncRNA from 1 species